rnacentral:rRNA from 1 species
UGGGGAAUUUUGGACAAUGGGCGAAAGCCUGAUCCAGCAAUGCCGCGUGUGUGAAGAAGGCCUUCGGGUUGUAAAGCACUUUUGUCCGGAAAGAAAUCCUUGGCUCUAAUACAGUCGGGGGAUGACGGUACCGGAAGAAUAAGCACCGGCUAACUACGUGCCAGCAGCCGCGGUAAUACGUAGGGUGCAAGCGUUAAUCGGAAUUACUGGGCGUAAAGCGUGCGCAGGCGGUUUGCUAAGACCGAUGUGAAAUCCCCGGGCUCAACCUGGGAACUGCAUUGGUGACUGGCAGGCUAGAGUAUGGCAGAGGGGGGUAAAUUCCACGUGUAGCAGUGAAAUGCGUAGAGAUGUGGAGGAAUACCGAUGGCGAAGGCAGCCCCCUGGGCCAAAUACUGACGCUCAUGCACGAAAAGCGUGGGGAGCAAAACAGGAUUAGAUACCCUGGUAGUCCACGCCCUAAAACGAUGUCAACUAGUUGUUGGGGAUUCAUUUCUUUAGUAACGUAGCUAACGCGUGAAGUUGACCGCCUGGGGAGUACGGUCGCAAGAUUAAAAACUCAAAU